rnacentral:rRNA from 1 species
AACGAACGCUGGCGGCAGGCCUAACACAUGCAAGUCGAACGCACCGCAAGGUGAGUGGCGCACGGGUGAGUAACACGUGGGAAUGUACCCUUUGGUUCGGAAUAACGUUUGGAAACGAACGCUAAUACCGGAUGAGCCCUGCGGGGGAAAGAUUUAUCGCCAAAGGAGCAGCCCGCGUCUGAUUAGCUAGUUGGUGGGGUAAAGGCCUACCAAGGCGACGAUCAGUAGCUGGUCUGAGAGGAUGAUCAGCCACACUGGGACUGAGACACGGCCCAGACUCCUACGGGAGGCAGCAGUGGGGAAUAUUGGACAAUGGGCGGAAGCCUGAUCCAGCCAUGCCGCGUGAGUGAUGAAGGCCUUCGGGUUGUAAAGCUCUUUCGCACGCGACGAUGAUGACGGUAGCGUGAGAAGAAGCCCCGGCUAACUUCGUGCCAGCCGCCGCGGUAACAC